rnacentral:rRNA from 1 species
UGGCAGACGGGUGAGUAACGCGUGGGAACAUACCUCUUGGUUCGGAACAACACAGGGAAACUUGUGCUAAUACCGGAUAAGCCCUUACGGGGAAAGAUUUAUCGCCGAGAGAUUGGCCCGCGUCUGAUUAGCUAGUUGGUGUGGUAAAAGCGCACCAAGGCGACGAUCAGUAGCUGGUCUGAGAGGAUGAUCAGCCACAUUGGGACUGAGACACGGCCCAA